GUCCGAAUAGCUCAGCGGGAGAGCACUCGCCUGACACGCGAGAGGUCACAGGUUCAAAUCCUGUUUCGGACACCA
rnacentral:tRNA from 1 species